rnacentral:rRNA from 1 species
AGCAGCCGCGGUAAUUCCAGCUCCAAUAGCGUAUAUUAAAGUUGUUGCAGUUAAAAAGCUCGUAGUUGAAUUUCGGGAUCAAGGGAUCGGUCAUGCAUUAGUAUGUACUGGUCUUAUUGGUUCUCACCUUCUAAGGAACCAUGAUGUCAUUUAUUUGAUGUUGUGGGGAAUUAGGACUGUUACCUUGAAAAAAUUAGAGUGUUUAAAGCAGGCUUACGCUUGAAUACAUUAGCAUGGAAUAAUGAAAUAGGACAUCAGAUUCUAUUUUGUUGGUUUCUAGGAUCGAUGUAAUGAUUAAUAGGGAUAGUUGGGGGCAUUAGUAUUCAAUUGUCAGAGGUGAAAUUCUUGGAUUUGUUGAAGACUAACUACUGCGAAAGCAUUUGCCAAGGAUGUUUUCAUUAAUCAAGAACGAAAGUUAGGGGAUCGAAGACGAUCAGAUACCGUCGUAGUCUUAACCAUAAACUAUGCCGACUAGGGAUCGGAUGAUGUUAAUUUUUAAUGUACUCU